GUGACGAGCGGCGGACGGGUGAGUAAUGUCUGGGAAACUGCCUGAUGGAGGGGGAUAACUACUGGAAACGGUAGCUAAUACCGCAUAAUGUCGCAAGACCAAAGUGGGGGACCUUCGGGCCUCAUGCCAUCAGAUGUGCCCAGAUGGGAUUAGCUAGUAGGUGGGGUAACGGCUCACCUAGGCGACGAUCCCUAGCUGGUCUGAGAGGAUGACCAGCCACACUGGAACUGAGACACGGUCCAGACUCCUACGGGAGGCAGCAGUGGGGAAUAUUGCACAAUGGGCGCAAGCCUGAUGCAGCCAUGCCGCGUGUAUGAAGAAGGCCUUCGGGUUGUAAAGUACUUUCAGCGGGGAGGAAGGCGAUAAGGUUAAUAACCUUGUCGAUUGACGUUACCCGCAGAAGAAGCACCGGCUAACUCCGUGCCAGCAGCCGCGGUAAUACGGAGGGUGCAAGCGUUAAUCGGAAUUACUGGGCGUAAAGCGCACGCAGGCGGUCUGUCAAGUCGGAUGUGAAAUCCCCGGGCUCAACCUGGGAACUGCAUUCGAAACUGGCAGGCUAGAGUCUUGUAGAGGGGGGUAGAAUUCCAGGUGUAGCGGUGAAAUGCGUAGAGAUCUGGAGGAAUACCGGUGGCGAAGGCGGCCCCCUGGACAAAGACUGACGCUCAGGUGCGAAAGCGUGGGGAGCAAACAGGAUUAGAUACCCUGGUAGUCCACGCCGUAAACGAUGUCGAUUUGGAGGUUGUGCCCUUGAGGCGUGGCUUCCGGAGCUAACGCGUUAAAUCGACCGCCUGGGGAGUACGGCCGCAAGGUUAAAACUCAAAUGAAUUGACGGGGGCCCGCACAAGCGGUGGAGCAUGUGGUUUAAUUCGAUGCAACGCGAAGAACCUUACCUGGUCUUGACAUCCACAGAACUUGCCAGAGAUGGCUUGGUGCCUUCGGGAACUGUGAGACAGGUGCUGCAUGGCUGUCGUCAGCUCGUGUUGUGAAAUGUUGGGUUAAGUCCCGCAACGAGCGCAACCCUUAUCCUUUGU
rnacentral:rRNA from 1 species